AUCCAACUGACGAAUUCCAAAUAAAACGAAACGCGCGUCCUAGAU
rfam:Schistosoma margrebowiei strain Zambia genome assembly, scaffold: SMRZ_scaffold0000173